UACGAAGGGUGCAAGCGUUACUCGGAAUUACUGGGCGUAAAGCGUGCGCAGGCGGUUGUGUAAGACAGAUGUGAAAUCCCCGGGCUCAACCCUGGGAACUGCAUUUGUGACUGCACAGCUGGAGUGCGGCAGAGGGGGAUGGAAUUCCGCGUGUAGCAGUGAAAUGCGUAGAUAUGCGGAGGAACACCGAUGGCGAAGGCAAUCCCCUGGACCUGUACUGACGCUCAUGCACGAAAGCGUGGGGAGCAAACAGG
rnacentral:rRNA from 1 species